rnacentral:lncRNA from 10 species
GCUUCCAUGGGCUCUGCAUAAAAAUUCGAAGAUGAUGGGAUCCCCAAAUCAGCUAGCAGCCCCACAGCCCUCCCGCCUUCCUCCCCUCUCUCCACGCCUCCCCCAGGCCGGCGAUGCCGUCAGGGCCCGUGUCUGAGGCGUCCGGUGGAUUCAGCAGAACAAACAUCAUAAAAAGAUUAUUUGCGAGAGGAGAAGACGAUGCUGUGAGAACUUGGUCCCAGAGACCGUCUCAGAGCAGCAGAAAAACCGCAGGAAACCUAAGGAGCACGACCCUGACGGCGACGGAGGGGGUGCGCGCGGACAGCACUGUCACCUCCCGCCGACGCCAGGGCUCAAAUCGGAACGAAGACUGGGCGGCCACAAAUGCCGGCUUCUCCUUUCUUUCGCUGAGGCGGAGAAAUCGCCCAGCGGUGCCCGGCGCGCCUCCCGCGGAAAGCGGGCGGUGACCAUUCCGACAGGCCGUCCGCAGCGCUCCCUUUCCGCAGACAAAGCUGCCUCGAAAGGCGCUCCGCGGCUCCCGAGUCACCACGUUCCAUUCGGCAGAAGAAAGCGAAAGCGGCCGCUCCCUGUCAGGCAGCCAGACAAUAGCGGCGGGCAGGCCGCUCCACGCCAGCAUCUUUGUUUCCCUCGCGCCGGGAAACGAAGUCUCCGGAUACCACAGAAACCAGAAGCCGAUACCACAGAAACCAGAGGCCGCUCUUCCCGCUCGGACGUUUACAGCGGGCGGGAGCGUGGCGGCCACCUCCGUCUUGGGGAAGCGGCAGGUUGAGCCCCGCACCUUGCUGUGCCCUCUAGAGCGAGCGGAGGAAGCAGGCGAAAAGCUGCUGCGAGAUGUUGCGGCCUUGCAGACGUCUCAGCUCCUCCCGGCACGGCGGCCUGGUAAGGCGGGAAGUAGCGCCGGCCCCGCGCGGAAGGAAACGUGCAGCGCGAUGCGGCUUAGCGCGGCUUUAUAGAGCCGAGGCUUUAUAGAGCCGCGCCCCGGCGACCCCUGCGGUGACUGCUGUCGGUCCGCGUUGUGUGUGUUCUCUGUUUCGGCCUCCGCUGCCCGCUGCGGCCUUGCCCCUGCGCCUCGGAGUAGCCGCCGCGGGCCUGUCUGCUGGAGCAAGGAGACCCGGAGGCCGUCCCAGGGGCGAGGGGGUAGCGGCCCCGGCCUCUUGGGCCCUCGGCCUCGCGCCCACCGAGCCCUCUGCCCGGGUUUGGUUGGGUGUGGAGCUUGCGACGCGCCCACUUCCUGGGCUGUGCUUCUGCCCGAGCUGAUGCCUCGCCGCGACGCCAGGCCCUAUCUUGACAGCGGGUGCCAGCAGGUCCAGGCCUACUGACGGGCGGAAGUCGGCCCGGUGCCCCCUCACACGCCCACACGCCGGGCGUGCCUCAGUUUCCUCUAUUGUGACAGAAUAGAGAUGAGACGAUGCAGGUUAAAAUUACCUACCGGCGCAUAAUGAGUUCUCCAGCAUCUAGCUAGUUCUACCAUAGGAUUAAUACCCAAAACCACGUGGGUGGAGCUGAAAAACACGAUGCUGUGGGGGGAAGAACCCAAAAAGCCAUAGUCGGUCUGAUGUCCAUUUAUAGGACAUUCUAGAAGAAGCAACAGUGGCGAUGCAAAGCAGUUGCCUGGGAAAGGAGUGGAACAGGACAGAAUGGAAUGCACAGGAGCGGGGGAACUUUGGGGCAGUGGUGGGACAAUUUCAUAUCUUAAUAGGAGCGGCGGCAACAUGACGUAUACAGUCGCCCCAAAUCAUCAAACUGUAGUUUCUAAAUGGGUACGGUUUAUUAACAUUCAAAUUAUAAGAAAAGUCAUUUCCUCAAAAGUUUCGGGGUUGGGGGAAGAGUUAAAGAAGGUCGUGGCUAGGUGGUUGUUGAGGAAUAAGGGAGAAAAUCACAGUUUACAAAAUCUGAGAGCUGAAUCCGUGCUGUUUCUCGAUUGAGAAGCAGUGGACAUCAGCAGUAGGAAUGGCUCAGGUCCAAGAAGGCUAUGCCCUACCAGACCCGGUUGAUGUGCUUCCCCGGAUUUACUCUGUCCCACCGUCCACCUCCACCCCGGCCUGCACCUCUCGCUUAGGGUAGAGGCCUGGCCUCCAGUGCCAUCUCCCGACAGCCUCCCCCAGGUGAAGGUCAUGCUUCAGCACUGCCUCCCUGACAGAGGCUCUGAUGAUGGGAUGCUCUGACUCAGACUCAGGUGAGAAAUUUGAAGGAACAGAAUGCUCUUGCCUAGCAGUUGCCGGGAGGGGUCAGGUGCUGCCCCCAGAGAAGUGGGAGAGUUAGAGGUCCGUGAGGCAUACUUUCCCCAAAGGGGGCAGAAAGCAUGAAGUGGUCAGCAUAGAAACUCGUCUCCCUGCCAUCCACACAGUCCCAAGGCAUGCUGGUUCUACAUGGCUUGUCUGGAAGCUGUCCUUGAAUGUAAAGUUGUUUUCAGCUCAAUAAUGUAUUUGCCUGCCUUCGCCUUUCCUUUCACCCUUACCACCUUGGAAUUGUACCGCCUAAUAAAAUCUUCGCACUUAAACUUGG